CCUGUCUUUCUUUCUUGGUCUCAGUGAGCCACUGUCCACUCUGAUGACGUGUACUUCCUCCGUGCUUCCCCACCAAGUCACCCCUCAACCACAUCUGAGCUGUGCCCGUUGCUCCAGCAGUGUCAUCAGCACAUGCAGAGUGGUGCCUCUCCCUGUGCUCUGUCCCACGCAGCUCCAGUCUAAGCCUCUUCCUUCCUUGCCCAGUUCCCAGAAGCACCCCAGACUCCCUUCCUCCCCAUUGCCCACGCUCAGGGGGACAGCCGGAUGUGGCUUGUGAUUGGACUAGAGAAUUCCUUGUUGUGAUUGGAUUAGAGAAUUCCUUGCUGUGUUUCCAUACUACCUCCUGUUCACUUCUGAGGGAUUCCUGGAUUCAAUAUGAAAGAUAAAGUCCCACUCACGAUGCAAACGAAACUGUAGAGCCAAAAAAAGGAUGGAGUACCCUUCCGUGCCCACAGGGAAGACCCCCAGGUGAAGCUGGACUCAAUGUUAAGGAGAACCCUGAGAGAAGACAUCUGGGAAGCAAGGCAGGAGCUUCAGUAUCGGAUGUGGCACCUGGCUCACAGAAGGCACCCGGUCAAUAUCUUUUGCUUCACUGAAUGAAGGGAAGGGUUAACAGGGAGACAAACAGAAGCAUCACAAAAGCAGAGCGUGGAUCUGUGCCUCUCUUUCUGAAACUGCCGUUCCACACUUACAAAAGGACCAAACUGAGCUGUGAGUCCCUUCAUCACUAGGGCAGUCACAGGCUUUGUGGAAAGUACCUUUAGGGAAGAUGAAGAACAUUCCACCUUCACAAGGUAGAAGAGGAAAAGACCAGAGGCGCAGCAUCCUUCCAAAGUCAAGGAGGAAAAAAAGCAGAAGGCGGGCAGUAGGUUGGAACACCAGAGGUCUCCUGGGUAAGACUUUUAGGAACAAUAUAAAACUAACCGGCCUCUGCUCUGUUCUAGCUACACUGAGAGAGGUGGGGAAAGUCAUGAGUCUACCAUACAAUAAAUUUCUUUCUAGAAAUAAUUUUGCCUGCUGUCUUUCCUGGCACAGAUAGCACCCUCUAA